GGUCCAUUUGUCUAGUGGUCAGGACGUCAGGUUUUGAUAGCAAUCGGUUUCAAACCUUCUGAAAGCCCCGGUUCGAACCCGGGAUGGACCU
rfam:Aspergillus calidoustus genome assembly, contig: SCAF6